GUCUAUGGCCAUACCACCCUGAACACACCUGAUCUCAUCUGAUCUCGAAAGCUAAGCAGGCUUGGGCCUGGUUAGUACUUAGAUGGGAGACUAUAGGAGCACAAAUGUUUUGGUUA
rnacentral:rRNA from 1 species